AUGGAGGUAGAGGUGAGGCUGGGCCCUUCAACACACCCGAAAAUCCCUGACCUCACCAGCAGGAAAAAACCCAUAGCAAGCCUCAGUGACAGAAACAAGCCACCGGCUCAAGGCAAGGGACAACGGGGGCAGGUUGAGACGGAUUACGCUGCAACGGAGAAGGCGACUCGCAGGCGCAGACGACUCAGCAAGGGCAGGGGUACUCGGGAAGAGUCCCAACGCAGACGGGUGCGGAAGAGGACGGCGAGGUCCGGUGGCAACCCGGACGGGAGGCGACUUCGUCAGGAGGUAGGGCGGCAGCGACGACUUCAGGCCGGUCGUCGCGGAGGCUUGCAGUAG
rnacentral:rRNA from 1 species